UACGGAGGGUCCAAGCGUUAUUCGGAAUCACUGGGCUUAAAGGGCGCGUAGGCGGGCUGCCAAGUCUGAGGUGAAAGCCCACAGCUCAACUGUGGAAGUGCCCCGGAUACUGGCAGUCUCGAGGGAGGUAGGGGCGUGCGGAACUUCCGGUGGAGCGGUGAAAUGCGUAGAGAUCGGAAGGAACGCCGGUGGCGAAAGCGGCACGCUGGACCUCUUCUGACGCUGAGGCGCGAAAGCCAGGGGAGCAAACGGG
rnacentral:rRNA from 1 species